rnacentral:rRNA from 1 species
UACAGAGGGGGCAAGCGUUGUUCGGAAUUACUGGGCGUAAAGGGCUCGUGGGCGGCCAACUAAGUCAGACGUGAAAUCCCCAGGCUUAACCUGGGAACUGCGUCUGAUACUGGAUGGCUUGAAUUCGGGAGAGGGAUGCAGAAUUCCAGGUGUAGCGGUGAAAUGCGUAGAUAUCUGGAGGAAUACCGGUGGCGAAGGCGGCAUCCUGGACCGAGAUUGACGCUGAUGAGCGAAAGCUAGGGGAGCAAACGGG